rnacentral:rRNA from 1 species
AAGUUAGUGGCGAACGGGUGAGUAAUGUAUGAGCAACCUGCCUCUGUCAACGGGAUAACAGUUGGAAACGACUGCUAAUACGGUAUAUGACCACGGCACCGCAUGGUGCUGCGGUAAAAGAUUUUAUCGGACAGAGAUGGGCUCAUAUCCCAUUAGGUAGUUGGUGAGAUAACAGCCCACCAAGCCGACGAUGGGUAGCCGAGCUGAGAGGCUGAUCGGCCACAUUGGGACUGAAACACGGCCCAGACUCC